UACGAAGGGGGCUAGCGUUGCUCGGAAUCACUGGGCAUAAAGGGUGCGUAGGCGGGUUUUUAAGUCAGGGGUGAAAUCCUGGAGCUCAACUCCAGAACUGCCUUUGAUACUGAAGAUCUUGAGUCCGGGAGAGGUGAGUGGAACUGCGAGUGUAGAGGUGAAAUUCGUAGAUAUUCGCAAGAACACCAGUGGCGAAGGCGGCUCACUGGCCCGAUACUGACGCUGAGGCACGAAAGCGUGGGGAGCAAACAGG
rnacentral:rRNA from 1 species